CUCUCUUCUUCUCUCACCUUCUUCUGUUUCCACGGGAAUGCACAAGAACUGAAAGAGACACCCGUAGGUUGCUAACCUCCAUCUGUGCUGGUGUCUGCAGAGUUUGCAGCUGCUAUUUAUCUGCCUGCACAUGGAUCACCUCGCGUUUCUCUGGGAUACUCUUCACCCACACGGGAACCAGCUGUCCUCUUGUCCUUAUCCUGUUAAAACCUUUUCUGGCUGCAGAGAAAGCAGAGGUGAUGUGUGCAGGAUCUGGCUGUCCUGGGGGCCAGGUUAGCAGGAGGGAGCAGGAGCAGCCCUUCAAAAGGAGGCACUGUGUGUGAUGGAGUGACCUUGGGGAUUUUGCCUCUGUCACUGCCCUCGCCACCCCUCGAUAAACAGCAAGGGAAGUGGAUUUACAAGAUUGUAGAAAUCAUUUCAUUUCCUCUUGUUCUAUCAGCACAGAUGGAAAGCAGGGCUGUAUCUAAUCUCAGUCCAGAAUCAGCUGGAGUUGGACUGAUAGUGAAUAAAGACAGCAAAGGCAGCAGAUCCAUAAAUUUACCGAGCUGUAACUUGUGUUCUGUGAGCUAAUAAGACAUAGCUUUUCAGUAGUUUAUGCUUAAGGAAGAUAGAGAUACAAAGACAUUUAUUUUGACAUUCCAUUUCUUUAAAAUACUCCCUAGUCCUGCACCAGAUGCUAUAUUUCCUGACAUUUCUGGUUUAAUUCUUGCUUUAAAAUAUUUCUUCUAAAUAUGAUCUAAC
rnacentral:lncRNA from 1 species